ACUAACGCUACGCUAAAUUUCUAUUGCUGAUUUAAGAACUUUUGAUAUUGUUUUGCUCUCUUGAAUGUAUAUUUUCUUUUUUCUUCAAAAGAAAAGUUGAAACUAGGGCUGGGUGAUAUGGCCUUGAAAAAAAAUCUAAGAUGUUUUUUCCACACCGAACUUGAUUGACGAUUUUAACUUGAUUUUCAUUUAAAAUGUGCCUCUGUUUUGUGCUCACAGUUUGGUUAAUUCUUUGCAUUGAGACCAAGGACAACUAGUCAUUCUUCAUCACCCUGCAGGUUAUGGGUCUGCAGUAGUUGCUGCAAAUUCAUUGAGGAUGAAAUGCCUUCAGCGUUGACACAACUU